rnacentral:lncRNA from 1 species
UGUUUUGCUGAUGAAGCUGACCAUCUCCAGAAGCCACCUCCUGCCUUUGUUCAGUGACCAGCCCUUCUGCAGGUUCAUCACUGCUGUGCAUUUUUAGGGUAAAGGGACUGUUAUGUGAAGAUGAACCAUUCUGAAACACCAAGACAGCGUGAAAAAGCACCAACAUACCUGGCGAGUGCUGCUUGCUGCCAGCAGCAACCUGUUACAUGGCUUCAGACUCAGAAAGCAGAAGGAGGUGCCUCAACAUCCCCAGCACAGGGCAGCUCCCACAGGCAGACCCAGCAGUGUGAUGGCACCUGCAGGACCCAGCUGUGGCAAGGCCCACAUGUGGGCAAAGGGUCACCAUGGAAGGGUCAAAGGAGCAAAGGAAGGAGUGAAUGGAGGUCAGCUGGAACCAGGGUAUACUUGGAUACACCGUGCUUUAGGAACGGCUCUCGUCCCACUUCUGGAUUUUAUCUCACAGACCGCAGAAUAUUGCCAAUAACCUCACUGGUGGGGACUGACGACACGGAGAUACAUGCAUUCGUGUGAGACCACAACCAAUGAUGUCUAUACUGCAUUAAGCACAUUCAUUGUUAAACACCUUCCAGUCAAAUUGGUUCCUUGACAUUUGUCGUUAAAACUUUAGUUUUUUCUUCCACAAUUAAGCACAAAGUAACCUGUAAACAAGUUGACAUUACACUUAUAUACAAGUGAACCACGUCGGAGAGUAGAAGAGGUAAUUCGGUGGGUGCCACUUAACCUACGUCGAUGUGCAAUAGAUGGACUCCACCGCGGCGAAGUCACUGCGUGCCUUGUGAGCUCUGGGCUGUGAUUUGAGUGGGACUGGGGAGGCACCACCCACAGCCCCCACCCCCACCACGGCCCCCAGAGCUGCAUCCCAUGCUCGGUCAUUGCUAUAGAUUAAAAUCUUCAGUAGCAUUCUUACAAACCGGUCACUGUAGCUAAGUGAUAUCGAUGCCGAGAAAAAUAAAGAAUGUCUUUUUAUAAUAUAAAUAAUUUAA